AACGAACGCUGGCGGCAUGCCUAACACAUGCAAGUCGAACGAGACCUUCGGGUCUAGUUGCGCACGGGUGCUUAACGCGUGGGAACCUGCCCUUAGGUUCGGAAUAACUCCCCGAAAGGGGUGCUAAUACCGGAUAAUGUCUUCGGACCAAAGAUUUAUCGCCUUUGGAUGGGCCCGCGUUGGAUUAGCUAGUUGGUAGGGUAAAAGCCUACCAAGGAGACGAUCCAUAGCUGGUCUGAGAGGAUGAUCAGCCACACUGGGACUGAGACACGGCCCAGACUCCUACGGGAGGCAGCAGUGGGGAAUAUUGGACAAUGGGCGAAAGCCUGAUCCAGCAAUGCCGCGUGAGUGAUGAAGGCCUUAGGGUUGUAAAGCUCUUUUACCCGGGAUGAUAAUGACAGUACCGGGAGAAUAAGCUCCGGCUAACUCCGUG
rnacentral:rRNA from 1 species